rnacentral:tRNA from 1 species
UGCGCAGGUGGUGGAAUUGGUAGACACGCUACUUUGAGGGGGUAGUGCCAGCAAUGGUGUGUGAGUUCGACUCUCAUCCUGCGUACUAC